UUGAGCUGUAUGAGAUGAAAGUCUCAUAUACAGUUCUCGGAGGGGGGAUCGCACCUAUCUCAAU
rnacentral:ncRNA from 1 species